CUGCCUCCUGCGUAUGUGCGGUCACGGAGAUAGGUGUACGUUGCGACAUUGCUUCGUGCGUUGUGCGGAGAGUUCACGCGCGGUGCGGCGCGGCGGACGGACCACGUACGCGUGCAACGCCUGCGCCUAGGCGUCCGGACGUGAGCGGCGCAGCGGCGGUAGCGGAGGAAGGCCUCGGCGCCCGCUUGGCUCGUCGCGUGACGCGCGUUUUUCUUUUCUUUCUUCGGCUUCGGUUUUCCGUUCGCCGGUUGCCGAUCAACCGCGCGCUGCCAAAUUCGUGACGAGGCUGGGUCUGUUGCCGCCUUGUCCCUGUCUGAGUGACGGCCUCUUCAUCGACAAUUUUGGCCGAUCGACCGAAGUCUGGGAGGUUGAGAAGCGUCGUUUUGAUCGUGAAACGGAUGGGAUCAAGGAAUAGUGCGGCAUACCCCCGGAACGGUACUGCCGCUAGCGUGCCGCAUCCCCUCAUCCGUCGUGAUUUGGGAAGAAUUCGGGGUUACAUGGGCCGGUUAAUGGCCCAAUAACGUACAGACAUUGGGAGAGGAGCCGCGCGAGAAGGCUAUUGCGCGGUCAGUCGCGCGCCCCCCUUUCCCCACGCGCGGACUGGACACGUGUCGCGCGCGGAGAGAGGGCGGCGGACGCGCCAGGCGGCAGAGCGAGUUUUCCGUUUUUUUUCGUGUUUUUCGUUUCUGUUCGGUUUGCUUUUUUUUUUUUUAGUUUUUACGGUACUGUUCAGUUUGGUUUUCCUUUUUUUUCGUUUUCUCUUCUGUUUUCUUUCGGUUUUUUUUAAAGAUGUAUGAAUACAAAGUUUGUAUUUGUAUGUAUAUCAAGCUAGUUUAUAUUCGUAUGUAUGUAAAGUUUGUAUACGCGUAUACAAAGAUUAUAUACGCGUAUGCAAACUUUGUAUACGUGUUGUAA